rnacentral:lncRNA from 1 species
UUUAUUUAUUGUUACUACCUUUUUUUGUUAUUACCCUUCCAAUUACCUUCUCUUUCCUUUAAUUUUCAGCCCCCCAAAUAUUCUCUUCUAUAUCUCUUUUUAUCCUUUUAUCAUUACUUAUACUAUUCCUAAUUCUAAUUAAGCAAAUACUCUCAUUACUUAAUGGUUGCCCUCUACCAAUUAGUUCAAAUUAAAGUUAUUGGGGGCCUACUGGGUAGACUAUUCAGUAAAACCAGAUUUUCUUAUUCUUCUAUUCCUAGAACACCCCUAAAAUAUUGUAUUACCCUAAACGGAAUAUACAUCAAUGUCAAUUCAAACCUAAAACUAACUUUGGUUAAACAACUAAAUUACUACAACUAAAUUAUCCAAUCUCUGGAACAACUGAAACUGAAUUUAAGCCUAAGUCUAAUUCAUAUCAGACCCCAAACUCAACAGAGCAAUCAAUCAGGCAAGUCAGUAGACUUAACAGAAUUGAAUCCAAACUAUAUCAAAUGGUAUCACAAUUACAGGGGAAUAGUUGAUUGUAUCCACAACUCUAAACUAAAAGGAACUGAAUAAAAUAAUGUAACAUACUUGGACAAAAAUAAGCUUUAUUGAUGUACAUAACGACGAACAACAAAAUAUGGAAUCAAACAUCACAGAAAAUGAGACCAUUUGAAUCAGUAAUACUAGUGACUCAUUACAGGAUAUGAUACAGUUUUGUACAUAAACAUUACGGAUACUAACUUUUACAACAAAACUGAAGGACAAAUAUAUUCAAUCGAUUUAAUAUAUGCUAGUCAACCACAUGAGAAAACUGGACCAGAAAAAAAAUCUGAAAGAGAAGAAAGAAAUAAAUUGAAAAUAUGAUAAGAUAUAAUCAAUUUUAGACAGAUAAAUGACAACAAAAUUAUAAAAGAAAACGAAAAAUACCUCAAAAUUACACCCCAAACUCCAAACAGUUCCCCUUCCAAACACUGACUUGAACUCUUACUUCGGAUGUUAGAUUGGAAUGAACCUUAGUCGAAUGUUCUCAACUGAGAACAUACGACGACGAUUGAUUACAACCUCAACCUGCCCAACUCGUACCAGAAUAGGAUUUAGAAGUGUUUUUCAGGGCUUAUCUUGGAUUCGAAAUUCGAGAUGCUCGACUGAAAUUCGAAGGAAUCCACUUACUGUUCAGGGAUGAGGGGGUCGGGUGGAGCUGGGGAGUGAACUUGGAGGCGUUUGGGUGAACUAGGGUUAGGGGUCAGUUCUUUAAUCUAAAAUUCGAAGAACACGGGGAUGAUUCAAAGACGAUGGAGGGUGGAUUUGGAUUGGGGGUGGUGAGGAGGUUAAGGGGGGUUAGUUUGGUGGUGGUCGGAUACGGGGCCUCGAAGGAAUCCACUUACUGUUCAGGGAUGAGGGGGUCGGGUGGAGCUGGGGAGUGAACUUGGAGGCGUUUGGGUGAACUAGGGUUAGGGGUCAGUUCUUUAAUCUAAAAUUCGAAGAACACGGGGAUGAUUCAAAGACGAUGGAGGGUGGAUUUGGAUUGGGGGUGGUGAGGAGGUUAAGGGGUGUUAGUUUGGUGGUGGUCGGAUACGGGGCCACCGAGUUUUUUAGGCGUAGGGUGACAUGGCGGCUAGGGUUUGGUGAGGGAGAUGGUCUUUCUCUUGAGAGAGACGAUGAGAAUGAGUGAGGUGGCUAUGGAGGGGGAAGGGUGUGGUUAGGGAUAUAUACU